UACGACAGCAGAGAGGAGUUGAGUUAGUUUGUAAACACCGAGACGGCGGGGGGAGGGGCAGGCCGCUCGAGCUCUCUCUGCUUCAGGACGGUGCAUCAGUCAGUACAGGUGCUCUCUGAUUUGGAAACUCGAGGCUAUAAAAAGAAUGAAUAUUUAUCGCCACAAACGAGAGAGAAGAAGAAGAAGAAGAAGAAAGAACAACGGAGUAAAUAUAGCGAGGGAACGGCGAGCAAGACAAGGAGUUUACCACCAGCUUACCUAUGACCCAAAGGUAGAGCGGAAAAUGUGAAGUGUUUGCCCCAUGCUCGUGUGUUUUCUACUAGACUUAUUAUUGAGUUACGUUAGAGGAACUGGCUGGUGGGGUGGUCGUGGCGUUUACACCUGACCAGCCAAGGAGCUAAGGACCCACCAGGAGCUCCACACUUUCUCAACGACAAGAAGAAAACUGUCUUGUGUGGUUUAGGAUUCAAGGUUUCCUCCCUACUCGCACCCUGCCUCCCUCCCUGCUAGCUCCCUACCUCCCUUCCUUCUUACCCGCACCCUGCCUCCCUCCCUCUCUC